GCUCUUUUGCAGUUUGGCAAGAAGAAAAAUGUGGUGAAACUGGCAAGGAGGAGCUUUAUUAACAAGCUCAGAUCGAAAGUUAGAGACCUCGAGAUUGCUACAUCGAUUUUAGAAGGCAUAGUGAUGAGAGCACUAUCUGGCAAAUCUGCAAAGAGAGAUCUUUUCUUGAGUUCCAAGAAAGGUUCAUUCGAAGUUCUAUUGAUCUAUUUAUUCUUCUUCCUGUCUUUGUUUCUCCUACUUGUGCGUCUUUUU